UCCUGCAUCUGUCUGUCUUUGCAUCUGUCAUCUGUCUCUCCCUCUUCUCUCUCUCUCCCCUCUGUCUCCCUGCUCCUCGGCUUACCUGCAGUCUGCUGAUUGCAGAAAGUGGACAUAGCUGCAAUAAUCACCUGUCGGUAAUCACCUCCUGCAAUAUAAGCUCAGCUCUAUCAUUCACUCACUGCCAGACCAUAGACUGCAGAUUCUCACGGAUUCAGCUUCUCCUUUGGAUUCCUGCCACUCCUUACAUUGCCUCCAGACUGCCAUUACCCCACCUGGACUCUCUUCAACAUUCCCCCUCUUGAUUUCUGCUGGUCCCAUCUCUGUCUUCAGCUUGUUGUCCUGCCUUGUCUCCCGCAACCGCUGGGCAAUCGCUUCUGCCUGCCCUUUUAGUCUAGUUCCACUGGGUCUUGUGAGUACAAUGUUUGUUUGCUUAGUUUAGUUUGACUGGGUUUUUUUUCCUUGGAUUUCCGUGUUGGGCUUUGUUGGGCUUUUUCAUAUUCUUGUAUUUAGUUUGGUUUAGUUUCUACCUCAGUUUAGUCUCCCUUUUCCUAUUUUCCUCCUGUCUCCCCAUGUCUGUGUCUGCGUCUGGGUUCUCUGACACCCCUGUAACAAUAUAUAGUAUUUUGUUAUUUAAAGCAUCUAAUGCACUCAAUUUUAAGCAAGCGCAAUGACGACGAUGUGUUGUUGGUAUACUACUUUUGAAUAUAUAUAAGUUUCCACAAAUGAUAAUGUCAUCAAAUUCAAGGUAAAUAUUAAUGUGUGAUUCUCUGAGUUCAAAUGAGAGACACUGCAAAGGGAGACUAGCAGUAGGUCAUACAUGUGUGACGGGAGGUUGUCUCCCUCCUGGCCGCUGUUGGGCGCCGUGCCAGCGGUGCGAGCACCGUAAAUGCUGGGCGGUACUAUGCGCCCUUUAUAUUCAGGUGUGCAGCAGUGGAGCUUUCUGUCCUCCGCUCCCUGCUUGCUUCUGUGGUAGCUGUGGUUUGGCAUGACGGUGUUGGUGGACGCAGCCGUUCUCUGGUGUAUACAGCUGUUGUGAUUGCCGUCAAGGCGUGCUGUCUGAAUAUCGUGGCUGAGUGCUGGGGUGAAUUCCCCGGGGUGAAGCGGCGAUCUGCUGGAGCCCUGCUGGGCAUAGGAUCACAGGCUGGUUCUGGUUGUGUGUGUGAGCCGUAUCCUUGUGGCUCACACCCUCCAGUUGCCAGUUAACAGCCCGGCAUAUCUGACUGCCACCAUCACUUCAAGCCGAGCUGCUGUUUUGGUUCUCUUUAAUAUUCGUCUGGUGAACUGUUGGUGGUUUUUUUUUUGUUUUGUUUGUUUGCUGCGGCUUGGAGCGGACUUCUCAGCCCAGGAGGGCUGAGUACCGUCUGCGUCCGCUCCGUGCAGAGGCUGGUUGUGUUGCUGCUGUACCAGAACCUGUACAGCUGCAAGGGCUACUUCAGUUGAUGGUGUUUUGUUUUUCUUUGAUAUUUGGAAAUUAAUUUAGGUAUUUCCUUUUGGUAUUUUGGUUUGCUUUGUUGCAUUAGUUGGUUUAAUUGGGUUUUUUUUUUUUUUGUUUUCUUUGUGAGUUUAUUCAGCCUCAUGUAUUGAUUUAAUCCAUCAUUUAUUGUUCUUUGGUUUUGUUUUCUUUUGUCCACACCAGUUAUGGUUAGUUUGGGCACGUUUUAUAAAUCUUUAUUUUCUAUUUACAGGUGCUGUGGCUUACUGCGGCAGUUAUUCCCUGGUGGUGGCGUCUUCUUCACGGUCCCCCCCUUUCUUUUGGUUUUGUGUGUGUGUGUGUGUAUUAUUUGCAGUGUCACGGGUGAUUCAUUUGAGGAUUCCUCUCCCCUUUUUGGUUAUCCUGCCGCAGGGUAAGCCCCAGCCCGGGUUUUUAUUCCUUGUUGCCCAUUCUUUCUUUUAGUUAGUAUAUGUUAACUGGUGUGUCACAUUAUUUCCUUUCUUAUAAUUUGUUAAUAAACAUUGUUAAAUUGGAACACGUCUCGCCCCCCUGUGUUAAUGGAACCUGUUGAGCCUUAAUUGGUUUAGUGACAGUGAAACACACCUGAGCUAGGAUUUCCUGGGUGCAAGUCCCAGGUGGCGUUGUUGGGACCAUAAUUGGUGUAAUUGGGUACAAACAUUCCUCGAAUCUCGCCACACAUGUGACAUCAGAGCAAAGGUAUUUUAUAUGCAUAGCUAUGUACAUGUGUUUAACUGGCUAAAGGACACGAUGAAGAGGAUGUAGGAGGUGUGCCAGAAUUGUACCAAGCUGUGACCACAAAGUUAGCUUGAAGUCCACCCAGCUCUGUGUAGUAGUAUGAUUUCACUUAUGAAUACCCAGGCAAUCGCUUCUCCUUCUUUUGUAGUGUUUUAUUCCAAGGUUGACUGAGAUGUUAUGAUAAUGAUAUGAAGAAACAAUGCUCAGUUGCUUGCAAGAUAUAGUUUAAACUGAGCUUUAGGGAAGGUUUUUACAGUGACAAGGGAUCUAUAGAAUGGCUGUUUCAAGCAAGAUUUUUUUUUUUUUA